UACGGAGGGUGCGAGCGUUGUUCGGAAUCACUGGGCGUAAAGCGCGCGCAGGCGGGUCUAGGAAGUCGGGGGUGAAAUCUCGGGGCUCAACUCCGAGGCUGCUUCCGAAACUGCGGACCUGGAGACCGGUAGAGGUGGGUGGAAUUCCUAGUGUAGAGGUGAAAUUCGUAGAUAUUAGGAAGAACACCAGUGGCGAAGGCGGCUCACUGGUCCGGUACUGACGCUGAGGCGCGAAAGCGUGGGGAGCGAACAGG
rnacentral:rRNA from 1 species